AUAUAUAGUGCAAGGACACAAAUAAUCAACAAAACUGUAAGGGGUCAUUUGGCAGGGUAUAUAAGAACAAUACUAAAUAGGGUGUAUUAGUAAUGCUUAGAUUAGUUACGUUGGGAUUAGUUAUACUGAUAUUAUUUUUUAUCGACUGUUUGGUUUGUUGUAUUAAAUGAAUCGAAUUUGCUAGGUAUAAGAAUAGUACUGAAUAUGGUGUAUAACUAAAAUACAAAUUUAGUUAUACAUAAAUUGAAAAACACUACAAACAAGGGAUUAAUGAUACCUAGCUAAUACAUCCCACCAAAUGACCCCUAAGGUUAUAUGUAACACGCAGGAGUCAAUAUUAUACAUUCCCUUUAGUCCAUAACAAGUGUCCUUUCGGCCUUUUUAUUUUGGUCCAAACUAAGUGUUCAUUUACAUAAUCAAGUAGGUAUUAAUUGUUUUCUUCCAAAAAAAAUUCUAUUUAGAUAAGUGAGUUUUUAUGUAAUCAAGAAACUUUAUUAAAUAAGUACUAUUUAAUUAAGGGUAAGUUAGUCAAACUAUCUAUUGUUUUUCUAGGAGUUAAUAUUUUCUUAAGGGGUGUGCUAAAGGCCAAAAUGAUACUUAUUAUGAACCGGAGGGUGAUUCACAUUAAAUGAGUUAACCGGUAAUAUAAAUAUAAUGGAUUGUAGUGUAAUAAUUAUAUCACUGAGGCAUUACUGAAGAAUAUAUAUACGGUAUUUAUUUAUUUACCAGAUAGAACCACCAUUUCUUGAGCAGUGAAGCCAUGUUGGCCAAACACUUUGAUAAGCUCUGAACUAUUUAGAGUGGGGGAAGGCAGAUUGAUUGUGUCUUCUAUUUUUGACCUUCUUCCAUCCUUCCUUCCUUUUGGUAUGUCAUACACUGGACCUCCAGC